rnacentral:rRNA from 1 species
CCUACGGGGGGCAGCAGUGGGGAAUAUUGCACAAUGGGCGAAAGCCUGAUGCAGCAACGCCGUGUGAAUGAAGAAGGCCUUAGGGUCGUAAAAUUCUGUCCUAAGGGAAGAAAAAGAUGACGGUACCUUAGGAGGAAGCCCCGGCUAACUACGUGCCAGCAGCCGCGGUAAUACGUAGGGGGCAAGCGUUAUCCGGAAUUAUUGGGCGUAAAGAGUACGUAGGUGGCUAUAUAAGCGCAUGGUGAAAGGCAGAGGCUUAACCACUGUUAGCCUUGCGAACUGUAUAGCUUGAGUGCAGGAGAGGGAAGCGGAAUUCCUAGUGUAGCGGUGAAAUGCGUAGAUAUUAGGAGGAACACCAGUGGCGAAGGCGGCUUUCUGGACUGUAACUGACACUGAGGUACGAAAGCGUGG